GACGAACGCUGGCGGCGUGCUUAACACAUGCAAGUCGAACGGAAAGGCCCUUCGGGGUACUCGAGUGGCGAACGGGUGAGUAACACGUGGGUGAUCUGCCCUGCACUUUGGGAUAAGCCUGGGAAACUGGGUCUAAUACCGAAUAGGACCACGCGCUUCAUGGUGUGUGGUGGAAAGCUUUUGCGGUGUGGGAUGGGCCCGCGGCCUAUCAGCUUGUUGGUGGGGUAAUGGCCUACCAAGGCGACGACGGGUAGCCGGCCUGAGAGGGUGACCGGCCACACUGGGACUGAGAUACGGCCCAGACUCCUACGGGAGGCAGCAGUGGGGAAUAUUGCACAAUGGGCGCAAGCCUGAUGCAGCGACGGCGCGUGAGGGAUGACGGCCUUCGGGUUGUAAACCUCUUUCACCAGGGACGAAGCGUAAGUGACGGUACCUGGAGAAGAAGCACCGGCCAACUACGUG
rnacentral:rRNA from 1 species